GCCGACACGUUGCGAAUUACGAAACAAGACACCAAUCUGGAUAAGCAAAAACAAACGACCGGUCAGUAAAUCACUCCACUUUCCUUCAGUUUGUCUCCACUCUCCGUCACGCUUACAAAAAACGCCUCUCUCUCUCUCUCUCUCCAUAAUAUAAUGGCGACGUGUUUUGCUGUUUUGGCGGUUGUCGACCAUCUAGCUGAUUUAGCGUGAAUGGAGACACGGAGGCUCGCUGUUCUCUUCUCCCAUCUCCACCCCGUAUCUCCCCGUGCCGGUUUGGCUCGCACCUGCUUUUCGCCUUCUAACUGUGUUUCUGAUGAGAAGCGGAAUCAGCAAAACGACUGCGUUUUCUGCAAGAUUAUUCGUGGAGAGUCCCCGGCUUUUAAGCUUUAUGAAGAUGAUACAUGCCUGUGUAUUUUGGAUACGAGCCCACUGACUCAUGGGCACUCUCUUAUUAUCCCAAAAUCUCAUUUUUCUUGCUUGGAAGCAACUCCUCCAUCUGUGGUUGCAGCAAUGUGUUCAAAAGUGCCUUUUAUUGGCAAUGCAAUAAUGAAAGCUACUGGUUCUGAUUCAUUCAAUUUGUUGGUUAAUAAUGGUGCAGCUGCAGGCCAAGUAAUAUUUCAUCAACAAAUAAUGGAUUAAUGGUUGACUGUGCUGACUUUGCCUUAUAACAUGGAAAUUUCAGACCCACAUCCACAUAAUCCCCCGAAAGGCGAGUGAUUGCUUGUGGACCACUGAGAGUUUGCCAAGGUGUCCCUUAGAUUUCGAUCAUAGAGCUUCCCAGCUUGUUAAUUGCGUUCGCAAGCAGUUAUCUAAUAUUUCCGAAGAAGGCAAGGGUCAAGAAUCUAGUCUCUCUUGAAAUUAUAGAUCUUUUCUGCAAUGUUUUAUGCAUACAAAUAUGAGCUUGUACCAUAAGAAUGUAUAGUCCCAUUCGUUUGAGUAGGUAGGUACCUUGAAUGACAUGCAAUGUUUUGCUGUAUUCUCUGUUGGGGGUAACUUGAUUUUUAGUACCCAGCAA